GUGUCUAGUUUCGUAAUUUAAAAAAAAAAAGGUAAAAACGUCAUAUUACGUUUUUGGCACUCAAUGAGUUAAAUGGUUGUUGAGAUAUAGAAAUUUGUGAAUUGUGGCACCCCCAUGGCCCAAACUUCACAAAUGUGGGUGUGCCGCAUUCAAAGAAUGUAGUAGUGAUCCGACUUAUCAAAUUUGUGAGAGGAUAUUGGUAAUUGAAGCACCAUAUUUUAGGUCUUUCAAAAGGUGGUUCUACACCACAAAUGAAUCACAAUCAGUGGAAAAUCAGAAGGAAUGCAAAUCAGAAGGAAUCUUGCAGGGUCACUAUUUACAAGAUUGAAACUAGAUUCCUUUAAAUUAUUUCCCAUCGUGCCCCAGAUAUCAACAGGAACUUAACUUGCUUAGAUAUCUCAUAUCAAAGUCAUAUUUUCGUGCUUCUGCAGCAUUCAUCCCCAACCUGCAGUGAAAUAACAACAUCAAAUUAGAUCAUGUUAUGUCUCCAUGAGCAGGUGAAGGUGAAGUGUUUAGAUCGUAGAAGUAUUUUCGGGCAGGUUAUUGUGCUAUAUAAUUAUUCUGUCUGGUGGAAUCCUAAGAAUUUAUUAGAAACAAAAUGCCAAAUAAUCAUAUAUGCUACUGCUGUUACCACUUUGGUGCUGGAGAGAGCUCACUAUUGUUUUUUAUAUUGUCCACGUCACUAUUUGCAUGAGCCAAGACUAAAAGACUUGCGAUAGUAUCAAGCAUGUUUGAUACGGGAGAUCACGAGAUGACGGGAACGUGACACGACUCAAGUAAAACUCCCAUGAUUUCAUUCCAACUUUACUUGCCGGCUGUGAAACCAGCAUUAGCCUAGUGGGGAUACAUGCACACCAAGUUUCAUGUCAGUAUCCCAAGAAUCGCCAAAUAUAGGGUAAAAAAACAUCUAUUUCACUGUGCUGCACUAGUGUUUGCAGCUCAUAAGAUAUCUUGUGUUGAAUGACAACAGCCCACCAUAAUCCAAACAAUCAUGACAGCAACACUUAAGAUUAAGAUCCAGAAAUGUUGAAGUGGCAGCUUAAAAAAACAGAUUUAUUGGCUUGUUGUCAUUUUUUAUCUGUUGAAUUUAUGUAUCUGUAGUUUAGAAAGCUAUAUUAUAUCACUGUUGUAUCAAGCUUACAUUUGAAUAUGGAGAAUAUUUUCAUAUAUAGAGAAAUGUUUCACAACCUUUGAAAUAAUUAUACUUUCCUGAAAUUAAAAGUUAUAUGAAUCUUU